ensembl:lncRNA
GCCCCACAUCCCAGAGCUGUGCCCCACAUCCCAGAGCUGUGCCCCACAUCCUGGAGCUGUGCCCCACAUCCACAGCCCCACAUCCCGGAGCUGUGCCCCACAUCCCGGAGCUGUGCCCCACAUCCACAGCCCUGCAUCCGAGCUGUGCCCCACAUCCCAUUGCUCUGCCCCCAAACCUUGCCCCAAUGCCCCACAACCCCACUGUCCCAUUGACACCAGUGUCCCACAACCCCAAUGUCCCAUUGACUCCAAUGUCCUACAGCCCCAAUGCCCCACAACCCCACUGUCCCAUUGACCCCAAUGUCCCAUUGACCCUAACGUCCCCACAACCCCAAUGUCCCAUUGACCCCCAUGUCCCACAACCCCACUGUCCCAUUGACCCCAGUGUCCUACAGCCCCAUUGUCCCACAACCCCACUGUCCCACUGACCCCAAUGUCCCACUGACCCCAAUGUCCCCAUUGACCCCAAUGUCCCCAUGGCCCCAUUGUCCCCACGACCCCAAUGUCCCACAGACCCCAACAUCCCAUGGUCCCGGUGUCCCAUUGACCCCAACAUCUCUUGACCCCGUGGCCCCAUUGUCCCCAUGACCUCAAAUGUCCC